AGUGGAGUAUCAGAAUUAAAUUAAACUGUUUAAGAGCAUGUUAAUUAGUUUUGAACAACAAUCUGCCAGUCCCAGCCCAGGACGGAGAAGUGAGGUAUAACUGGGAUUCAGACGAGAGAGGAUGCUGUGAUUUUUCCUGCCCUACGUCAUUGAAGGCUUGCAGACCCUGCAGGUGCAUGGAGAUCCAUAGGCGGUGAUCAACAUAUGAACAAAAGCCAGGGUGAACUUUUAAACUAGUUGACCAUGGACUGGAAAUAAUGUGCAAGUUACAAAAUACACAAAUAUGUUUACCAUUGCUUUGGUGAAAACUGCUGAAAGGAGCUCAGUUUUCAUAAAUGCGAAGUAGGUAAAAGGAGACUGUGAAUAGUUUACAACACUUUGUUUUGUGCAAGUGCCGUCAUUUCUAUUGCAGCCAUUCAUUACGAACCUGUUUCACAAAUCAUAGUGCUCUCCUUUUCUUCUCCGGGCCAUAAGCCUUGCUGUUAAAUAUGCUACAUACUAAGAACUAUUUACACAAGCUAGGGAUCUUAAACAGCAAACCAAAGCAAAGCGAGGUACCUUUAUCGGGGAAGUUUAGCAAGCAGGGGCACUGAUCUGACAGCGAGCAGAGAGAUAGUUAUCAGGUUAACAGCGACAGUUAAACGGGGUAACUCCAACCCAACCAAACCAGCCACCCUUGAAGUUAACCGGACCACCACCACCACCACCACUGCUACACUUGAUGGUGCCGGGCGACUUCAAUUUGGGGUGAAGACAAAGACAUUGAGAAGAAUCGACUUUAUGUAGCUGGUAGAUUAGAUU